CAGCAGCCGCGGUAAUACGGAGGGUGCAAGCGUUAAUCGGAAUUACUGGGCGUAAAGCGCACGCAGGCGGUCUGACAAGUCAGAUGUGAAAUCCCCGGGCUUAACCUGGGAACUGCAUUUGAAACUGUCAGGCUGGAGUCUUGUAGAGGGGGGUAGAAUUCCAGGUGUAGCGGUGAAAUGCGUAGAGAUCUGGAGGAAUACCGGUGGCGAAGGCGGCCCCCUGGACAAAGACUGACGCUCAGGUGCGAAAGCGUGGGGAGCAAACAGGAUUAGAGACCCGAGUAGUCCCUGUCUCUUAUAC
rnacentral:rRNA from 1 species